GUCGUGUGCCCCAGUGCUCAUCUCUGCUCAUCUCGGAGGCUUCCUACCUCCAGCCCAAUCCAUCUCCCCUCUAUUUGUCUGGAAACAAACCCGCAAUAUCUCUGAGCUAUGCCUGUAGUCUGGAAUCUAAGGAAACUGCCCCAAAGAAAAAAGAUCAAAACCGGUUUGCAUACCCAUAGACAACAGGAUACACGUACAGUUUUGCCCCAGAGCCAUUUGGUCAUCCCGCAGAACAUCACACUGGGUCCACUUUAUCAACGUUCUGGGCAGCACAGUCCAUACCUGAGGAUAAUGCUCUGAUCCAAGGCCAAGAGAUCAGAGAGGCUGCCUGAACAAGUGGCUCCUCUAUCAAAGGCCCAGAGGUAAGAAGAGUUAGAGGUAAAGAUGAACUCGAAUGUCAGAAGAAAAGGAGGACUGUACACAGUGGGGAAAUGGAGGAGUAUGUCUGGCAUGCAGAUGAUACACACAAGUGUCUCUUGGUAUUCCCUAGUCCAGUUUUGAUAGUAAAUGAAUGAGUGUAGCAACCACAAGCUUAGGAAGGGCAUGACCUUUGCAGACCUCCAGUGAUGAGGGCCUGAGUCACCGUACUGGGUAACCCACGAAGAGCAGACACGCAAGCUAAGGGGAGGCUGUAUCUAGAAUGGACAGCACAGGAGGGAGAAAAUGAUUCAGUUGUGGCCCAAAGGCCAACUACAGCAACAAGGGCCAUAGUCUGCCCCACUAUCAUCCUUCCUCCUGCCCACUGGGACCCUGAAGAGGCUGCUCCCCAAAGCGUAUGAAGAAGUGAAUCUGAGCAAAAUAAAAGGUGAGCUGUGGUCCAAGCGUGCUGCACCACCCAGACUCACCCUGAGGAAUAAG